UCAUCAGGUAGGAUAAUUCUUACUUACCUGUUCCUCCUUUUGGAGGGCAGAUAGAAUAUUGAUUUGAUUAUCACAUACUGCACACAAAUACCUAUAGUCAACUCUGUA